CCUUCCUCAGCCUCCUAAAUAGUUGAAAUUACAGAUUCUGGGAGUUCUGAUGAAUCUGCAGUCAGCGUUUUCCACAAACUGUGUGUGGAUUCAUGCCCUAAACCAGAUGAUGAAGACUUGACUGUUACCACCAAGGUAAAGUGGUCUCUUGUAAAAUUUUCUCACUCAGUCAGCUUUUGCGUAGUAUU